UGUUUCUAUCAUAAGGGGGUGUUCCGU
rnacentral:piRNA from 1 species